rnacentral:rRNA from 1 species
GACGAACGCUGGCGGCGUGCUUAACACAUGCAAGUCGAACGGAAAGGCCCUGCUUUUGUGGGGUGCUCGAGUGGCGAACGGGUGAGUAACACGUGAGUAACCUGCCCUUGACUUUGGGAUAACUUCAGGAAACUGGGGCUAAUACCGGAUAGGAGCUCCUGCUGCAUGGUGGGGGUUGGAAAGUUUCGGCGGUUGGGGAUGGACUCGCGGCUUAUCAGCUUGUUGGUGGGGUAGUGGCUUACCAAGGCUUUGACGGGUAGCCGGCCUGAGAGGGUGACCGGCCACAUGGGGACUGCGAGACGGCCCAGACUCCUACGGGAGGCAGCAGUGGGGAAUAUUGCACAAUGGGCGGAAGCCUGAUGCAGCAACGCCGCGUGCGGGAUGACGGCCUUCGGGUUGUAAACCGCUUUCGCCUGUGACGAAGCGUGAGUGACGGUAAUGGGUAAAGAAGCACCGGCUAACUACGUG